CCUACGGGAGGCUGCAGUGAGGAAUAUUGGUCAAUGGGCGGGAGCCUGAACCAGCCAAGUCGCGUGAAGGAAGACUGCCCUAAGGGUUGUAAACUUCUUUUGUCAGGGAACAAAUGGCGAGACGUGUAGCGUUAUGAAUAUAACCUAAGAAAAAGGCUCGGCUAACCCCGUGCCAGCAGCCGCGGGAAUACGGAGGAUGCGAGCGUUAUCCGGAUUUAUUGGGUUUAAAGGGUGCGGAGGGGGGAAGUCAAGUCAGCGGUAAAAUGUCGGGGCUCAACCCCGGCCCGCCGUUGAAACUGGGUUUCUUGAGUUGGCGAGAAGUAUGCGGAAUGCGUGGUGUAGCGGUGAAAUGCAUAGAUAUCACGAAGAACUCCGAUUGCGAAGGCAGCAUACCGGCGCCCUACUGACGCUGAUGCACGAAAGCGUGGGUAUCGAACAGGAUUAGAUACCCUUGUAGUC
rnacentral:rRNA from 1 species